UCCACAUGCUAUGAUUCUAGUCAUGAA
rnacentral:piRNA from 1 species